rnacentral:tRNA from 1 species
UUGGAUCACCUCCUAACAGGGAGACAAACAACGAUUUUGAUGUCUGAGUUAUUUAUUCUUAGGCCAAAAUCCUGUCACCUUAGGUCGAUCGGUACCUCAACUUUGAAGCUAAGAGAGUUCCAGCAAUGGUUGUCUGCUUAGUGGAGAUUUUUAGUUCCUAAACUUUGUCUAGUUCACAUCCCAUUAGGGAUGAGACUCCUGGGCCAUUAGCUCAGGUGGUUAGAGCGCACUCCUGAUAAGGGUGAGGUCCCUGGUUCAAGUCCAGGAUGGCCCAUUCGGUGUAGGGGGUUUAGCUCAGUUGGUAGAGCGCCUGCUUUGCAAGCAGGAUGUCAGGAGUUCGAGUCCCCUAACCUCCACUGACUACCAAAAUCCCCAUCUCCAAAACCUGGAGUAUGAACUCGUAUGGAUUGUGAUUUAGAUUUGUCCGCUAGCUGAUCCUAGCUUCUUGUCAUUUUAAGGCAUGGAAAUGAUUCCAUGAUUUGAUUGAUAGGAUGCUGGGCUCGAUGCAAUGUAUUGAGAGAUCAAUGCAUUGUUUUGAUGUCUAGCCGAACCUUGACAACUGCAUAGUUUAAGUCUGGAAAGAAUAAAGCAUCUUUAUGGAUGCAUCAUUUUUUUGUGUUAACGCAUGAAGGAGUGAUGUUAAUUCUAAAGCAAGAGCCGAGACUCCAGUAUGUUCUUUCAAAUGUGUCGAGCAUUUGAGAGUUUGAUUUUAAUUUCUAAUUUUAGAAAUUAGAAGAAUCUGUUCCAACGACAGCAAGCGUGCUGGAGAUACAUUGGUCAAGCUACAAAGGGCUCACGGCGGAUACCUUGGCACACAGAGGCGAUGAAAGA